GGCAUGGGCGAAGCUGAUCCAGCAAUGCGGUGUGGGAAGAAGGCUUCGGGUUGUAAACACUUUUGGCAGGAAAGAAAUCGUUUGCGAUAAUACCGGAAUGGAUGACGGUACCUGCAGAAUAAG
rnacentral:rRNA from 1 species